CUAUCUAUCUAUCUAUCUAUCUAUCUAUCUAUAAUCUGAUUGCUCAGGUUAACCCUGGAACAGAGAAUGUUGUGUGUGAGCCAGUUAAGAGCACUCGGGCUAAACAGCCUCCUGUAUGGUUAAAGGACUAUGCUACAGAGUAAAGGAAAACCGAAAAGAAAGAAAAAAGUGACUAAAAGAACACUAGUGUUGUAGAAGGGAAGUAACUGAAAACAUAUGUUGAAUGUGUUCAUGUGUUUAUUCAUAUGUUAGUUAAUUUAUAUGUUAUAAGAUACAGAAGUAAACUUAUAGUUUAAGGGCAUAAUUAAUAAAUGGAUGGAAAUUGGGCUGAAUAAUCCCACUUAUUAAGUCUUUCUUAAAAGAAAGAGGGGAAUCUUAUGUUCUGUGUUAAUGUUCAUGGACUGCAAUACUGACCCAGUCCGCUAGAGGCUGAAAGAGAGAAUUGUCUGUGGUUGGAAAAGUAAGAAGAAGAGGAGUAAAGUAAAGCGUUGUCAAUGUUGUGAACGGUUGUAAACAACUCGUCCCCUCUUCUUGUUUAUUUCUUUUCAUUACGAGUCCCAACAUUACAGUUUCUUCGUCGACUAUCAUGGUUUUAUCUCUCGGGCUCGCGCUCCACCGGAACAACUUCAGCAGGGCCGGAGAAUGGUGCGUUUGUUUGUUGGCAGGGCCUGGGCUGUCUGUAUCCAGAAGGCCGGAGCAUCUCCCUGAUCUCCGUUGCAGUUAAGUGGCAUCUCCCUAAAAUUGUCAAGACGACAGGCACCAAUGUAGUAACCACACAAAUACAUAAAUAGUGCAUAACACAAUAAUGUCGGAAAAUAUUACAAAGAACUCAAGUCAAAAACAUGUCACGUCGCACAUGUCUGAAGUGCAUGUCACACCACUGGAAAGCCUUAAUCAUCAUAUCUGAUUCCAUUGAUGCAAGCAUAAGUUCUCAUUAGGUGUGUGAUCAUACCUGGUUACGCGUCCGUACAGCGUGUCUGUCCUCCUGUGGUCCAGCAUCUCAGCGCACACAUGCCAGAAGCGUAUGUUAAACCACUGGAAAACAAAAACAAGUCUGUGACCUCUGCUUCUUAUAGAAAUGCAAGAAAUUAUUUUACGAUCUAAAUCUGUAAAACAAAAACAUGGCUGUGACAUUUUAUAGAGAUGCAAAAAAAAAAGAAAUUGAAUAAAUUUUAGAUGUAAAUCAGU